rnacentral:rRNA from 1 species
AAAGGAAUUGACGGGGACCCACACAAGCAGUGGAUCACGUGGUUUAAUUCGACAAUAAACGGGGAAUCUUACCCAGACUUGACAUCUAUAGAAUCUUGUAGAAAUAUGAGAGUGCUCGAAAGAGAACUAUAAGACAGGUGCUGCAUGGUUGUCGUCAGCUCGUGCCUUGAGGUGUUCGGUUAAGUCCGUUAACGAGCGCAACCCAUGUCAUUAGUUGUAUUUUCUAAUGAGACUGCCUUGGAUAACAAGGAGGAAGGUGUGGAUAACGUCAAAUCAGCAUGGCUUUUACGUCUGGGGCUACACACAUGAUACAAUGGUGUAUACAAAGAGUUGCGAAAUGGUAACAUUGAGCUAAUCUAUAAAAUACAUCUAAGUCCGGAUUGAGGUCUGAAACUCGACCUCAUGAAGUUGGAAUUGCUAGUAAUCGUAAAUCAGACAUGUUACGGUGAAUAUGUUCCUGGGUCUUGUACACACCGCCCGU